UACGGAGGGUGCAAGCGUUGUCCGGAUUUAUUGGGUUUAAAGGGUGCGUAGGCGGCUCUUUAAGUCAGUGGUGAAAUACUGCAGCUCAACUGUAGCAUUGCCAUUGAUACUGAAGAGCUUGAGUACAGAUGAGGUAGGCGGAAUUUAUGGUGUAGCGGUGAAAUGCAUAGAUACCAUAAAGAACACCGAUUGCGAAGGCAGCUUACUAAGCUGUAACUGACGCUGAGGCACGAAAGCGUGGGGGGCGAACAGG
rnacentral:rRNA from 1 species